rnacentral:lncRNA from 12 species
AAAGAUAUGUGCAUAUUUACUUUGUGUUUUACUACUUGUGUCCUAUAUUUUAAUGACACAAGGUGAGAUGAAAUAGUGAAAUAAUAAACUCUUUUUGCUGCUGCAAAAGCAAAUGGCACUAUUUGUUUAAAGUUUGGUGUUAAAUUAUCUAUUGUGCUACGAUGCAGUUUUUUUCUCUCUGCUAUUUUGGUUUAUUUAAAUAUGUUUUACAUGUUAGUAGUAAUCUUAGAUUUUUUUUUUUUUUUUUUUUUUUUUUUUUUUUUUCUUUUUUUUUUUUUUAGAUUUUUUUUUUUUUUUUUUACUGUUUUUAUUUUUCAGAGAAGUGCUCUGGAACUGGAGUGAGAACGACAUGCUUGAUGAAACAUGUCAAGCUACAUUAUAUUGUAGGUAAGGAUCAAUAUUUUAACCCUUGGGUAGAUUGUUAGAGCACAGUGAGCAGCAGUUAUGUUGCAUUUUUUUUGGAGUGGGGAAGAAGGGACAUUGGUUUCCCCUUAAGAUAAUCCAUAAAGCAGUAUUCCUCACUCUAGUCUCUGUUCAGUUGAGUCAAUCAUGUAUUUGUGUUUCCUAUCAAACUCUUUUAUGUAUUAAAUCUGUUACAUUUAUCUUUUUUUUUUUGCAUUUUUCUUUUUUUGAAACAGGAAAACAUAAACUACAGCAACUUACUUAUCUGCUCUCCUUUGAACUCACUUCUGCCUGUUGCCUUGAGCAUUUCCUAUGCCUCUAGUAGGUACUUUUACCUCUCCACCACAUUUUUAUUAUAUUUGAAUGAAAUUAAGAGAGUGUUUGAGAUACCUCCAGCUAGAGGUUCACAGGUUCUUGCUGAAGAUGCAAACUGCAUGCCAUGGACUGGAAUCUCAGGACUCUCCCGGGUUCUAAUGCAUGGUACCACUUCUUUUAACCAGGUAAGGAAAGAGACUCCUCAUGUUUUUUGGUUUUUUGGCUUUUGUACGCUUUU